ACAGGGGACCGCUGUGCAGAAUGAACUCAGCUGUGCACCACGACAGUAAGGUGCGGGCCAGAGGCUGUGGUUAGAUGGUGACUACACCAAUAGUUCAAGUUGGAAGUGGUCACUGACUAAUUCCACAUGGGCUAAACAAGAGAGUGUUCUCUAUAAGGAAUGAUUCACUUCUAGACCUAGCAUACCCAUUGCAGAGCCAAUGACAGCAUGCCGUGGUUCCUCAAGUAAACUUUGGCCUCAAAGUUUCCAAAACACUCAUCUUCUCAAUCACUCUGAGGCUUGACUGUCACAGUAUGACUUGUCUUAUCAAGGAAAUGUACAGAGAGAGUAAUUGGCAUUUUUAGUGACUUUUUAUUUUGACAUCAUUGAAAAUUUUAGAAAAAUUUUAAGAAUACCUGUAUAUCUUUUUACCCAGGUACACCAUUUGUUUAACAUUUGCUUUAUCACCCCACAACCAGUGUUUGAGAGUAAGCUUCAGAUACCAUGCCUCUUUACCCCAGCUCUUCACUCUGUAUUUCCUAAGAAUAAGGAGAGUCCACAGUUGUUAGAAGCCAGACAUCUUACCCUGUAUUAGAUAAUAGUAUUGUAUCAAAGUCCAUAUUUAGAUUCUGCCAGUUGCCCCCAAAAUGUCUUUUAUAGUAUUUUUCCUGGUCCAAGAUUCACAUCGUAUCUCUUACUUAAUCUGAAAUGAAUUAAAUUUUAAGUGGAAUGGAGAGGGAUGCAUUUUUAACUGCAC
rnacentral:lncRNA from 1 species